rnacentral:rRNA from 1 species
UACGUAGGUGGCGAACGUUGUCCGGAUUUACUGGGCGUAAAGCGCGCGUAGGCGGACUGGUAAGUCAGAGGUGAAAUCUCCCGGCUCAACUGGGAGGGGCCCUUUGAUACUGCCAGCCUUGAGAUGCCUAGAGGAGAGUGGAAUUUCGUGUGUAGGGGUGAAAUCCGUAGAUCUACGAAGGAACGCCAAAAGCGAAGGCAGCUCUCUGGGUCCCUACCGACGCUGGGGUGCGAAAGCAUGGGGAGCGAACAGG